AUACAUAUUCUUCUUUGGCUU
rnacentral:miRNA from 1 species